rnacentral:rRNA from 1 species
UGAGGAAUAUUGGUCAAUGGACGCAAGUCUGAACCAGCCAUGCCGCGUGCAGGAAGAAGGUGCUAUGCAUUGUAAACUGCUUUUAUACGGGGGUAAUUACAGAUACGUGUAUCUGGUUGAAAGUACCGUAUGAAUAAGGAUCGGCUAACUCCGUGCCAGCAGCCGCGGUAAUACGGAGGAUCCGAGCGUUAUCCGGAUUUAUUGGGUUUAAAGGGUGCGUAGGCGGUCAGGUAAGUUAGAGGUGAAAGCUCGAUGCUCAACAUCGAAACUGCCUCUGAUACUGUCUGACUAGAGUGUAGUUGCGGAAGGCGGAAUGUGUGGUGUAGCGGUGAAAUGCUUAGAUAUCACACAGAACACCGAUUGCGAAGGCAGCUUUCCAAGCUAUUACUGACGCUGAGGCACGAAAGCGUGGGGAGCGAACAGGAUUAGAUACC